rnacentral:rRNA from 1 species
UACGUAGGGUCCGAGCGUUGUCCGGAAUUACUGGACGUAAAGAGCUCGUAGGUGGUUUGUCGCGUUGUUCGUGAAAACUCACAGCUCAACUGUGGGCGUGCGGGCGAUACGGGCAGACUUGAGUACUGCAGGGGAGACUGGAAUUCCUGGUGUAGCGGUGGAAUGCGCAGAUAUCAGGAGGAACACCGGUGGCGAAGGCGGGUCUCUGGGCAGUAACUGACGCUGAGGAGCGAAAGCGUGGGGAGCGAACAGG